CUUUCAUUGAAGUAUGAUCAUAUGACGAGAAGAAGACAACUGCUCUGCUCCAGUAGGAGACCCACAACCCUCUGAUGAGCUUAUAUUGAAGGAUGACCAUAUGACAGAGGAAGAGAACUGCUCUGCUCCAGUACGUGACCCACAACUCUGAUGAGGUUUGCUGAAGUAUGACCGUAUGACAGAAGGAGAGAACAGCUCUGCUCCAGUACGAGACCCACAACUCUGAUGAGCUUAUAUUGAAGGAUGACCAUAUGACAGAGGAAGAGAACUGCUCUGCUCCAGUACGAGACUCACAACUCUCUGAUGAGCUUUUAUAGAAGGAUGACCAUAUGACAGAGGAAGAGAACUGCUCUGAUCCAGUAGGAGACCCACAACUCUGAUGAGCUUUGAUUGAAGGAUGACCAUAUGACAGAGAAAGAGAACUGCUCUGCUCCAGUACGUGACCCACAACUCUCUGAUGAGGUGUGAUGGAAGGAUGACCAUAUGACAGAGGAAGAGAACUGCUCUGCUCCAGUAGGAGACCCACAACUCUGAUGAGCUUUUAUUGAAGGAUGACCAUAUGACAGGGGAAGAGAACUGCUCUGCUCCAGUACGUGACCCACAACUCUAGAAAGUUACAGUGGAUCGUGAUUUUGGAGGAGGUGAAGUCCAAUCUAAAAGAGUCCCCUCAAGUAUCAUCACCAUGGUACAGUGUCUGUGAAGAUAGUGAAGCAGACCCAGCAUUCACAAAAAAGAGAGGUCCCAUAAAGAGAAGAUCCUGGAGCAAACAGGAAGUACAUGCUGUGGUGAAAGCUGAACCAUUGGCUCUAAAAACCAGAGAUUGGUCAGCUUUGGAUUUUUAUAUUAAAAACUGAAUCUCGGCUCUUUAGAUAAAAAAUCUGAAUAACACUUUUAUAGUAAGUAUACACUAUACAUCAUUAGUUUAGCACUAACUCUACAUUAAUAGACUUUAGGAAGCAGUUUAUAAAUACAGCUUCAAACGCUGUAUUCUUGACUUGACUUAAUUGUAUUUUCAUGCUUUGU
ensembl:processed_transcript